CUCCCUGCUCCCCCGCAGUCCCCACAUGCAGCAGCAGACUAGUGGGUAGAACUGCCGGGAUAUGGAGACAUCCUGAACCCCAGCAGCAGCAGUUCCAGAGCCCCGCCCCCAACCUCAGGCAUGAAGAGCAGGAUGUGUGGAAACUGUGGACACACCUCCCUUGAAGUCUGGCCUCCACCAGGACACUGCCUGGGUUAAAUUCCACACAUGUCUGGCCCCGAAGCCAAUCCUGUGAGCUUCCUUCAGCUAAAGCAAACCCUCCUCCAUGUCUCCUGUAGCUUCCUAGGUGCUGGGCUCAUUGAGCAACUGAGAUCUCUCACAAUGAUCAAUCAGGGCUGAUCCAUUCGAGAUUUUACUUGUGGUUGAUGUUAUUUUUCAAGUCAACAACCAAUUGCAGUAACAGCACUGAUUAAACACCGUCUCUCUGCCCUGCAUGGAAAUGCCAUCUUUCCUAUGUGUUACCUCCGAAUGAACUGGGCAUGGUUGCACUGGGCUUUGAGCCCAGCACUCUGAAGACAGAAGCAGGUGGAACUCCGUGAGUCUAAGGCCAGCCUAGUCUACAAAGAGAGUUCCAGGACAGCCAGGGCUACAUAAUGAAACCCUGUGUCAAAGCACAACCAACAGACAGCGUGGGUCUUGAAUGGCUUAUACUUCUUGGUCACCUAAUCUACAAACUUGCUGUGUCAGAGCCAUGUAGCUUUUCACCUUAUUCUAUCAGCUUGGUCCAGAGUUUUAGCAUCUGGCACAACUGUUCUACAUCGAUGUUUAUCACAGAUAAAAUGCUGCUCGUGAAAUGGAAAUAUUUAGAAUUGCUUCUACAUAAAUGUUGAAUGCUUUUAUAGGACCCAAGGAAAACCCUGUUGACAUUCUGAUUAAAAUUAAGGUUCUUAUCCCUUUG
rnacentral:lncRNA from 1 species